UACGUAAGGGGCAAGCGUUGUCCGGAAUCACUGGGCGUAAAGCGCACGUAGGCGGCUUUCUAAGUCAGGGGUGAAAUCCUGGAGCUCAACUCCAGAACUGCCUUUGAUACUGGAGAGCUUGAGUCCGGAAGAGGUGAGUGGAACUCCGAGUGUAGAGGUGAAAUUCGUAGAUAUUCGGAAGAACACCAGUGGCGAAGGCGGCUCACUGGUCCGGUACUGACGCUGAUGUGCGAAAGCGUGGGGAGCAAACAGG
rnacentral:rRNA from 1 species